UACAGAGGGGGCAAGCGUUAUUCGGAAUUAUUGGGCGUAAAGGGCGCGUAGGCGGCUUUGCAAGUGGCGGGUGGAAAUCCCUCGGCUUAACCGAGGAACUGCCUGUCAAACUGCAUGGCUUGAGACCAGGAGAGGUGAGUGGAAUUCCCAGUGUAGCGGUGAAAUGCGUAGAUAUUGGGAGGAACACCAGUGGCGAAGGCGGCUCACUGGACUGGUACUGACGCUGAUGCGCGAAAGCGUGGGGAGCAAACAGG
rnacentral:rRNA from 1 species